GGGCUCCCCCGUGGCCUCGGGAUGGCUGCAAUGUGAUUGUGAGAGCCAGGAUGAAGUCAGCACUGACAAAGUGAGGGGAUUGAUGGAUGGACAAAGCAGGGAACUGGAUGAGCCGUUUGAAGGAUUCCUGUCCUUCAUCCCUGCCUACAACAACCCUUUGUUGAGGGUCCUCCGUUCUUGGGGUACAGUAAAUCUUUCUGAACAGUGUGAUAAGUUCUAUAGCAAAGGUUCAAAGCCCAGGCUGCACAUUGUGACCACCUGGGGAGCUUUGAAAAAAAAGAUACCAAUGCUCAGGGAGUAGCCCAGACCAACUCAGUCAGAAUUGUUAGGGAUGGGGUGUGGGAUCUGGGAUUUUAGGGAAAUGUUUUCUAGGUGAUUUUAAUACCACUCGGCCAGGAUGUGGAGCUGGUGUUUAUUCUCCUAGCGGCUCUGUGUACACGCUCUGCCCGUGGAGUUGCCUCGGAUGAGCCGUGGGUCCUCUGAGAACUGCUUCCUGUUUGGUCUGGUAACUCCUAAGCCUGCCUUUCUUUUCUGCAGUCUGCAGUUGUGGAAAUGUGCAGUAUUUGAAGUUUGGAGGAGAUCAAUUUUUCAUCCUUUCCUUAGUGGGAUAAAGAAUAUUUCAACCACCACUGGAGACCAAAGAGCUCUGAGAAGUUUGAAAUAGCUUGGGAAAUAUGCCACAUGCUUCACACUUCAUUUUCCCCCUCUCUUUUCAUUGUUUCACUUGAUAAAAAUAUUGUAAUGCAAGAACGGGAGAUGAGGCAGAUAUUUAGAGAAAGGAAAAGAAAUGGGUUCGUGUUUAAACUGACUCGAAGCAAGUCUGGCCACUGUAGUUUGAAAUAAUUUUGAGUGUUUAGUAAGGUAAACUCAAAAUGUUCUUCCUGCCGGAGAAGUGAUUUAAAAAAAAAAAA